AUACGUAGGGAGCGAGCGUUGUCCGGAAUUACUGGGUGUGAAGGGAGCGUAGGCGGGAGUGCUAGUCAGAUGUGAAAUACCUGGGCUCAACCCAUGGGCUGCAUUUGAAACUGCAUUUCUUGAGUGAAGUAGAGGUAAGCGGAAUUCCUGGUGUAGCGGUGGAAUGCGUAGAUAUCAGGAGGAACACCGGUGGCGAAGGCGGCUUACUGGGCUUUUACUGACGCUGAGGCUCGAAAGCGUGGGGAGCAAACAGGAUUAGAUACCCUGGUAGUCCACGCUAUAAACGAUGAUUACUAGGUGUGGGGGGACUGACCCCUUCCGUGCCGCAGUUAACACAAUAAGUAAUCCACCUGGGGAGUACGGCCGCAAGGUUGAAACUCAAAUGAAUUGACGGGG
rnacentral:rRNA from 1 species